CCCGCGUCCCCCAUUAGCUUGUUGGUGGGGGAAUGGCCCUMCCAAGGCAMCGAUGGGUACCGGCCCUGAGAGGGUGUACGGCCCCACUGGGACUGAGACCGGCCCYGACUCCUMCGGGGGCAGCGUAGGGAAUUUUCGGCAAUGGGCGAAAGCCUGACCGRGCGACGCCGCGUGAGGGACGAAGSCCUUCGGGUUGUAACYUCWUAUGAAAAARGAAACGGACGGUACCCCCGGAGGAAGCCCCGGCUAACUACGUGCCAGCAGCCGCGGUWAUACGUAGGGGGCUAGCGUGUCCGGAAUUACUGGGCGUAAAGGGCGUGUAGGCGGUCGUGCAAGUCGGUUGUGAAAGUCUAGGGCUCAACUCUAGGAUGCCGAUCGAAACUGCAUGGCUUGAGGGCAAGAGAGGGAAGCGGAAUUCCCGGUGUAGCGGUGAAAUGCGUAGAKAUCGGGAGGAACACCAGUGGCGAAGGCGGCUUCCUGGAUUGCACCUGACGCUGAGGCGCGAAAGCUGGCUUUSUGUAAGGGAUUAGAUACCCCGGUAGUCCCAGCCGUAAAGGGCCCUUCUAUGUGUAGGAGGUAUCGACCCCUCCUGYCCCGCAGUUAACGCAUUAAGCWUCCCCGCC
rnacentral:rRNA from 1 species